rnacentral:misc_RNA from 1 species
UCUCCGUAGGUGAACCUGCGGAGGGAUCAUUACAGAGUUCUCGCCCUCGCGGGUAGACCUCCCACCCACUGUUAUCGUUACUGUGUUGCUUUGGCGGGCCGCCGGGCCCCGCUCGGACGCCGGCUCCGGCUGGCGCGCGCCCGCCAGAGGCCCAGCAAACUCUGAAUGUUAGUGUCGUCUGAGUACUAUAUAAUAGUUAAAACUUUCAACAACGGAUCUCUCGGUUCUG